UAUUUAUAACAAGAAAGUUCUCAAUGCGUUUCCGUACCCUUGGCUGACGUCGACGUUGUCGCUUGCGACCGGAUCGCUUAUGAUGCUGAUCUCCUGGGCUACUAGGAUCGCUGAAACUCCUAAGACUGAUUUUGCGUUUUGGAAGACCCUUUUUCCUGUAAGUAUGAAGUAAUAUUAAUGUUUGGUUGCUUGAAAGAUGGCGUUUUUGGUGGUAAGGGUUUAUACUUGUUGGGUUGGUGAGCAAAUGUGGGAAAAAGUGGUGUUUUCAUUUUGGGAUCACAGGAAUUGAAGGAUUGUAAAUAUGAAAUACUAUUUAUGUUUGGUUGGUAAGAAAAGAAAAUUUUCUUGUAAAUGAUGGUGGUUUUCGUGCUUUAUGGGUUUAUGUUUAGUGGGCUUGGUUAGAAAAGGUAGAAGAAAAGAAGGUAAAUUGGAGUUGCUUUUAAAAUGGAUUCCCUUAGUUUUCUCGGCAGCCAAACAGAGCUGGAUUGUGAAUUUAUAAUCAAUCUGAUUUUAUGUUUUGUAGGUUGCUGUGGCUCAUACAAUUGGGCAUGUGGCUGCAACAGUGAGUAUGUCCAAGGUUGCGGUGUCUUUUACUCACAUAAUCAAGAGUGGUGAGCCUGCAUUCAGUGUCUUAGUUUCAAGGUUCCUAUUGGGUGAGAGUUUUCCAACUUCGGUGUACUUCUCGCUCAUUCCAAUCAUCGGAGGUUGUGCUCUGGCCGCCGUCACCGAGCUGAACUUCAACAUGAUUGGUAAUAAUAGCAAAGGCUUUUUCUUUAAAAGCAUAAUUGAAUUUGUGUAGGGUUCAUUUCUGCAAACUUUUUGCUAUAGUCUGUUUGGUUUAUAAGAAAUGGUAGGAAAGGGAAAGGAAUCAACUUUUUUCCUUCAGUUCCAUCAGUAGCCAAAUCAAUGGUUUAAUCGAUUUUUUAAACUCGUUUCAUUUUUCUAUAGUCGGUCUGAAUUGAGGGGUCAUAGCCAGCUCAAUAAUGCUUUAUAUUUCUUGAAAGCAAUCACAUGUUUCUUGAUCAGUUAGGUGACUUGGGUCCCUGCCUGCUGGAUUUUUUGCAAAAGACAUUUUGGGGGGGUUAGGAAUGUAAUUUUACUCCUAUUUUCCUUUUAGGGCUGACCUGAACUUGGUAGGUGCUUGUCUGUAUCAGGUUUUAUGGGAGCCAUGAUUUCGAACCUGGCUUUUGUUUUUCGCAACAUAUUUUCAAAGAGAGGCAUGAAGGGGAAGUCUGUUAGUGGAAUGAACUACUAUGCUUGUCUUUCUAUAAUGUCACUGUUAAUUCUCACCCCGUUCGCAAUUGCUGUCGAGGGACCACAGAUGUGGGCUGCUGGAUGGCAAAAUGCCGUUUCUCAAAUUGGACCCCAUUUCGUAUGGUAAUCACAUGACAACUACUGUGUUUUUCUUGUACUGUUUGUUUGUGUUUUAUUAUCUCUGUAUCUAUAUGUUUUUUUUGUGAUAGAAAAAACCAGAGGCCCAAGGUAAACUAAUAUCUCACUUUACACCCCGUCUUUUUUCGUAUUCAAUAAAAUCAUGGAAAUAACUAUUUAACUCAAUUAUGGAAGCCCUCACAGGAGAAGUAUGACACCUAUGUGGUUCAUGCUCUGGAUGUCCUGAGAUAUACAUUGAUUCAGUUUGGUCAUCUUUUUUCACUCAAUUUACGUUUUUGCCCUUCAAUUGCAACAUCUCACUGUUCCUAAAAUGAUUUAUAAGUAGAAUGAGUGAAGUUAAUCCUACCGUAAACAUUCAAGUAGAUCUAGCUUACUGCUAUUCAUAUAUGUAGCAUGUGAAUAUUAUUCUUGUAGCCUGCAUGUGAGUAUUAUUCUUGUAGCCUUAAACCUUAGUAGAAAAAUUACAGUUCAAAAGAACAGCAUGUGCUAACUCCAAAAAUUCCGGGGUCUGUAUAUGUUGAACUCAUCAUUUUAUAAUUGUCUGUUACCUGGCUACCAGUCAAAUGCUUUACAAACUGAGUCAUUAUGAUGGCCCAACUACCAGUUUUUGACCUAGGGAAAUUGGUCAAGCUAGUCUCCAUGUAUGUGCAGAGUGAAUAUGUGGGAUUCUUAUUCUUCUGAAGAUUUUUCAGGACUUUAGUUCCUUAUAAUUGUUCUUUUAUAUAUUCCAAUCAGUGAAGGUGCAAAAUUCCCUGUGUUUCCCACUCAGUUGUAAGUGGUAGUUGUUUUCUUUUUGCUUGGCUUUUGCUAAGGAAAUGUUUGUGUGGCUGUUAUUUGUACAUGGUAGGUGGGUGGCGGCCCAGAGUGUAUUCUAUCACCUCUACAAUCAGGUGUCAUACAUGUCGCUGGAUGAGAUCUCUCCCUUGACGUUUAGCAUUGGAAACACCAUGAAGCGUAUAUCUGUCAUAGUCUCCUCAAUCAUCAUCUUCCACACACCCGUC
rnacentral:lncRNA from 1 species